rnacentral:rRNA from 1 species
CCUACGGGUGGCAGCAGUGAGGAAUAUUGGUCAAUGGACGAGAGUCUGAACCAGCCAAGUAGCGUGAAGGAUGACUGCCCUAUGGGUUGUAAACUUCUUUUAUAUGGGAAUAAAAUGUUCCACGUGUGGGAUUUUGUAUGUACCAUAUGAAUAAGGAUCGACUAACUCCGUUCCAGCAGCCGCGGUAAUACGGAGGAUCCGAGCGUUAUCCGGAUUUAUUGGGUUUAAGGGGAGCGUAGGUGGAUUGGUAAGUCAGUUGUGAAAGUUUGCGGCUCAACCGUAAAAUUGCAGUUGAAACUGGCAGUCUUGAGUACAGUAGAGGUGGGCGGAAUUCGUGGUGUAGCGGUGAAAUGCUUAGAUAUCACGAAGAACUACGAUUGCGAAGGCAGUUCACUGGACUGCAACUGACACUGAGGCUCGAAAGUGUGGGUAUCAAACAGGAUUAGAUACCCCAGUAGUC